rnacentral:misc_RNA from 1 species
GAUGAAGAACGUAGCGAAAUGCGAUAAGUAAUGUGAAUUGCAGAAUUCAGUGAAUCAUCGAAUCUUUGAACGCACAUUGCGCUCCCUGGUAUUCCGGGGAGCAUGCCUGUUCGAGCGUCAUUGCUGCCCUCAAGCACGGCUUGUGUGUUGGGCCUCCGUCCUCCUCCCGGGGGACGGGCCCGAAAGGCAGCGGCGGCACCGCGUCCGGUCCUCGAGCGUAUGGGGCUUCGUCACCCGCUCUUGUAGGCCCGGCCGGCGCUUGCCGACACAUCAAUCUUUUUUCCAGGUUGACCUCGGAUCAGGUAGGGAUACCCGCUGAACUUAAGCAUAUCAAUAAGCGGAGGA